GAUGAACGCUGGCGGCGUGCUUAACACAUGCAAGUCGAACGGUGAAGCAGAGCUUGCUCUGUGGAUCAGUGGCGAACGGGUGAGUAACACGUGAGCAACCUGCCCUGGACUCUGGGAUAAGCGCUGGAAACGGCGUCUAAUACUGGAUACGAGACGUGGCCGCAUGGUCAACGUUUGGAAAGAUAUUUUGGUUCGGGAUGGGCUCGCGGCCUAUCAGCUUGUUGGUGAGGUAAUGGCUCACCAAGGCGUCGACGGGUAGCCGGCCUGAGAGGGUGACCGGCCACACUGGGACUGAGACACGGCCCAGACUCCUACGGGAGGCAGCAGUGGGGAAUAUUGCACAAUGGGCGAAAGCCUGAUGCAGCAACGCCGCGUGAGGGAUGACGGCCUUCGGGUUGUAAACCUCUUUUAGCAAGGAAGAAGCGAAAGUGACGGUACUUGCAGAAAAAGCGCCGGCUAACUACGUGCCAGCAGCCGCCGUAAGAC
rnacentral:rRNA from 1 species